AUUGAACGCUGGCGGCAGGCCUAACACAUGCAAGUCGAGCGAGCGGCGGACGGGUGAGUAAUGUAUGGGGACUGCCCGAUAGAGGGGGAUAACUACUGGAAACGGUGGCUAAUACCGCAUACUAUCGGAUAACCCAUAUGGGAUUAGCUAGUAGGUGGGGUAAAGGCUCACCUAGGCGACGAUCUCUAGAUGGUCUGAGAGGAUGAUCAGGCAAACUGGGACUGAGACACGGACAAGAGUCCUACGGAGGCAGCAGUGGGGAAUAUUGCACAAUGGGAGAAAGCGUGAUGCAGCCAUGCCGCGUGGAUGAAGAAGGCCUUAAGGUUGUAAAGUACUUUCAGCGGGGAGGCGUUACACGCAGAAGAAGCACCGGCUAACUCCGUGCCAGCCGCCGCGGUAAUAC
rnacentral:rRNA from 1 species